ensembl:lncRNA
GGGGACCGAACCCAGGGCCUUGCGCUUCCUAGGCAAGCGCUCUACCACUGAGCUAAAUCCCCAGCCCCGGGAAUUCUUUAAUUUAGCAGACAUCAUUUAGACCUCAGCCACGUUAGACUGUCCCACAGGGCUUGAAGUCCUGUACUGUAGGCUAAGUGUGGCAGAUACAGUUCCACUGAAACAAAAAGGUGGACAUAAUUCUGUUGCUUUUCUGGAAUGGUGUCGUAGAAUGUGACCUGUGCAAACACUGUAUCCUAAAAUGUCCAUUUCCUUAGCUCCUCCUGUAGCUGAAUUUACAGAGCGUGAACCCAACGGGACUGGUGUUGGCCCUGGUAUGUUUUCUCUUCCGGUGUCCCCGGUUUGAGGUACUUUCAAAAGUCACUCUCCUGGAUGUGACACUUAAUUAGGAAAUGACGUCACUGCAUUCCAGUUUGUGCUUUAUAAUGUCGUUUUGCUGUACCUGAGGGAAAUGUCCUGUUAAAGAAGGAGAGAGAGGGAAAAGCAGGAAUAUCAACUCAAUGCUUCUUAACUGCUUGAGGCCAUAGGUCCCCUUUCAAAUCUAUGGCUCUCAUGGAUUUGUCCCUGAAAAAAAAAAAAAAAGGGACCGCACCUGGCUGACCCCCCUUUCUAAGAUUAAUAAUUCACUCACUGUAGUCGGUGACCUGAGGAGAGAGGAGACAGCAAAUGUGAAGUGUUCAGAAACCAUGCCUGUCCACAUGCUGAGGUUUAAAUUGGGCUGUCUCAGUCCUGAGCAUCCCCUCGGAGGACUGAAACCAAAUUAAAUAUUAGACUAAUUGGAAACAGUUGAAAGGACUGCUGGGCACUUCCCACCCUCCUGCCUGGCUCUCCUGGGCACACUUCAGUUCUUUCCUCAGGAGUUCCUGUAAAAUAUUUUAAAUACGUAUAAUUGCCGCUGCUGCCGCCACCGCCGCCACCACCAUCAUUACCACCAUCAUCACCAUCAUCAUCACUAUCACCGUCAUCACCACCAUCACCAUCAUCAUCACCAUUACCUUAUCACUGUCAUCACCUCUAUCACCAUCAUCACCAUCAGCACCAUCAUCAUCAUGGAAGAAGAUGAGGUGUAGAUCACAGUGCCCCAGCCUCUCCCUGAAACCAGAUAGUGAGGCUGUUGUAUUUCAUCCACAUGUCCCAUACCCUGGGCUUUUGACCCCUGGAUAAUAUGUAGAAGGCUAUGCCAGAGCCCGUGGAAUAUAUCAAAACACAUCGCACUUGGAUUCGGCCCAGGGAAUAAGAACUCUUUCCUGAGAAACCCAGCUGAUCUGAGGCCAAAGAAAGAAAACUUGUGAAGUCCUGGGGAGAGGAUUCAGACACACAGGUCUCUUGUAUGGCCACUUAGAGAACUUGUCCCUUGCCUUCCCCAUAGAGAAAUUGAAUCUGUAUUACUGGAAACCACCAGUGGCAAUGUGCCUGCACAGCACAGCCUGGAUGUGAUUUUUAAACAUAAUCAUUUUAUUGAAAGAGGCCUCAUAGGUGUCACCAUGGGAAUGCAGAACAAAUACUACAUUCUAUUGGUUGAAACCAAGGUCAAAAUUGACAAAGCCUUCAGUCAUACUUCUGGGCGUAAAGGGGAGCUGAAGAGAAUGGUAUCCCCAAGAGAGUGAUCUGUUGCCCAGCAUGGGGGCAGGAGACAGUGAGGACUCAGCACCCUGAAGGUCUGGUGCACAGGGGUGUGUAUAAUGAUCACCACCACUUCACUCUCAACUCUUUGCUAUUCUUGGGCUUUCCUGGAGGUGAGAUCAUCGUGUCUGUGCAUUGAACUUAUUCUCCCGGAGUGCAUGGUUGGAACCUCACUCCUUCCAUUGUAUGGUACAGCUAGAUGGGUGGAUCUUUAGCUGGUAUAGAGGCCAUGAGGAUAGACCCCUCUGGAAUGAGUGCUCUGAUUGAAGGGACCAGAGGAAGCCUUUGACCUUUUGCUCUUCCUCAAGAAGCAAUGAGAAGCCACCUUUCUAACCCAGGACCCGAACACGUUGGCAUCUUGUUCUCAGCUACCGGGACCAUGAGAAAGGAUAUUUGGUUGUUUAUAGAUCACGCAGCCUCAGGCAUCUAAAACUUCGUGAAAACCCAUUAUUCCUACGAGAGGAAGGCUCCAGAAAAGAGCACAGAGAAGGGCUGUUAGGUAGCUUAGACGAACACCUAGGAGGCCCCACUCACCCCUGCAAUGAAAUGUGGGUCAUCAGUCUUCCAGCAAGGAUCCACAGUGUGAAACUGUUUACACACAGACGUCAGGAAACCAUUCAAAAGCAACAGAGAAAACCAAUUCCGAGAAGUAAAGCUGACAAAACUACUAGCAUUUGAGAGGGUAUGUGGCCAAGGAGCCAAGGACCUACAACAGGUUUCAAAGAUGGCAGCCGAUGCCCUUCACAGGGAAAGGGCACAUCCUGCUCUGUGUGGAGUCUGAAUGGCUAUUUAUGACACAGAACUGAGAGUGAGAUUCAAGCUCUGGCAGCAGCAUGUCUAGGAGACAGCAAAUGAGGAGCCACGCUGAGAAUCCGUCUGUCUCUAGGGCACUCUGGCUGCCACGGGGAAACACUCGUCAAAGAAGGGGAAUGGCCAAGAGAGAAGUAAAAGUCAGCAAAUGCAAUGAGUCUGGUCAUGAAGAAAAUUCCAGCCAGACCACAAUAUAUUCUCCCUGGCACUGAGCUAGCUGAUGGCAGAGAGCCAACCACCCUUGAGGAAAAGGAAUCGUAGGAAAGAUGAAGGACGUUCCCUGACAGAGGUGAACCUUUUGCUUUGUUACUUCAGUUGUCUCUGAGUUAAACCUGCUCUUUCCCAUGGGCAACAAUGUUUCACAGCAGUGGCGGAUGACCCUGGCUGGCCCUUAGAGCAAUUAGGAGACUUUAAAGAACAGGACUUCAUCAAUACCAAACAACAGAAUGUCUGGCGGAAUGGCAGGCAGGUGUUUUUGAUGGACCUCUGAGGGUGGUUCCAGCAUUCUUCCUUACUCAGCUUCCAGCUCGCUCUGCCACUCACUGCCUACCCCAUCUCUAUGCUAUGAUCUGUAUUAGUGCGAGAGCCUUCUUGCCCCUGAGCUGUGGCCUCCUGCCUAAAUCACACCUUGCUUGUCCAACUCUUUUCUCAAAACUGUGCAUUUUAGAGCACUGUGGACUCUUUAGCAGAACUGACCAGAAGCACAGAGCUAUCCUAUACCUCGCCUUCUUUAAACAGCUUUUCUCAUUGUCCACAUCUUCAACAGACUCUUGAACUUUAUAAGCGCAGAGAAAAUUAGUUGAGCCCAAGUGAGCAUAUACGUAUUUAUUUCUCUGCCCUUGAAUGUAGCUAUACUGUGAUUGGCUGCUUCAACUUCCUAUUUCUUUGACUGCUCCACAAUAAUGGACAAUAAAUUGAAACUGUGAGCUAAAAAACACUCUUUCCCGCCUAAGUUGAUUUUUGUCAGGAUAUCUUAUUAAAGCAAUAGAGAUAAAAUAGGAAUAAUCCCUUUGGUCAUUGUCCAUUCUCACCCUGGAGACUGCCUCAGGUUCUGCCUCCACUUGUCUUCCUCGCUUCAUAUAAUUUCAUGUAACAGAGAUCACAUGGACCAGCGAGCUAAAUAGAAAUCAGCAUGAGAUCAGGUAACACUGAGGAAUGCAUGUGUCUUAAAAAGUUGGUACCAUAUCUUCAAGACUCUUUGAGGGCUUUAAGCAGAUAAAUGGUGUGGGAUGAAUUGCUGGUUCAGUGAGAAUCCGGUCACUGCUUUUGGGACUAGGAAGAGUGGAGCCAAUUCAUUCAUUCAGAUUUAUUCAGGACAUCAGACAAUUUACACUCUGAGGGUUAAGAAGACUCACAUGAAUAUAAUGUACUUACAAGGACAAGCUGCACACGCACGGCAAAGACAUGCUUUCCCAUAGAGCCAUAAACAUUUAAUUGAAUGACACCAGCAGGCAAUAAUGAGUAUCUGAAGUAAGCUCACCCAUCCCCCACAUCCGAGGCGAGCAGGAAAACAUACUCCAGGAACAAUUCUGUGUUUUGAAGAAACUAAGUCACAAGAUUCUUGUUUUCUUGAAGUUUUCUCACAAGCACUCAGAAUUCUCACAUGGAUCUAUUCCUGAACCACAGUCCCAUGAAAGCCUGGAGAGAGAGAGAGAGAGAGAGAGAGAGAGAGAGAGAGAGAGAGAGACAGACAGACAGACAGACAGACAGACAUAGAAGGACAGAGACUAAGAAAGAUCCCUCAGGUCAACCUUUGGCUUCCACAUGCAUGUGCAUUUAUGUGCAUGAACAUCCACUGGCACACAUGUAUACACACAGGUACACAGGUACAUAUGUACAUAUCAUACACACACAUACAAUAACACACAAACAUACACCGCAUGCUGUGAUAUUUUCAACCUAUGCUAGGUGGUGCGUCCACAGUGGGGUAGCAUUUCUGCUUCAGUCUAUUGCAAAGUCAGCCUAGAGGGUCAGGGCAGAUUUGUAGACUUGAGUUCAGCUACUGAGGAGAAAGGACAGGACUGGGUCCAGGUGAACCAAUAUUUGGUGGGUGAACGGCAGGUUAGACAGGUAAACAGGCAGGGGACAACUCAAGCCACAUCAGAUGUGGGUACUAAAGCAAGAUGGACCCUGAAGAGUUGGGUGUGCUCUGUGAGUGGUCCUUAAUGCACACAGAUAGUGGUGCACCAACAGGUGAGUGGGGCCAUCACAGUGAUGAAGCUAGAUGUGGGCCUGGCACCUCCAACACGUUGUGGUCUCCAAGGCAACCCAGGCUUCACCUUCAUAGCUUCAUGCAGUGGCCACUCUAGACCUCAAUUCAGAGAAACCCCUGACAUACACCUGGCCUCAGAGGCUUUCUCUAGUUGUGGGGGGAGAGUCUAUAACUCCUUUCUUCUAUCCUUGAUUCUAAAGACAGAGCCAUUAGCCAAAGUUGCCAAGUUCUGCUGCUUGCUGGACCUGGACCUUUUUCAAUUACACCUUUAUCAGCUUUGUUUUCAAUGGCUUCCUUCACAGCCUAAGCUUAGCCGUUCUGAAACUCACUCUGCAGACUAGGCUGGCCUAGAACUUAGUCUUCUUACUUUCUGAGUUCCUGGAUUAAAGGUGUGCACCACCAGGCCUGGCCCUAAGCUUUUCUUUAAUUCCUUUUCACUUUUGUCUUACUUAGGGUUCUAUUUUUGUGAAGAGACACCAUGACCAUGGCAACUCUUACAACGGCAAACAUUUGAUUGGGGUGGCUUGCAGUUUCAGAGGUUGAGUCCAUUAUCAUUAAGGUGGGAAACAUGGCAGUGUCCAGGCAGAUGGUGCUGGAGGAGCUGAGAGUUCAUCUUGAUCCACAGGCAGCAGGAAAGAGAUUGACUUCUGCGAUUGCAAAGCCCACCCCCAGUAACAAGCCUCCUCCAACAAAGGCCACACCUCCUAAUAGUGCCACCCCCAAUGGAUCUAUGAUUUUAUUCAAAACACCAAAGAUGUCUUCCUCCUUACGGAGCCAGGAUGAGAGAAUUGGACCCUUUCCUCAGCCUGAUGAGCUAAGUCCUCGGGCCUGUUUUUCCUGAUAAGAUUUUAAGAUGCCAUGUGCUCCUUUCUUUCUUUUUUUUUUUUCUUUCAUUUUUUCGGAGCUGGGGACCGAACCCGGGGCCUCUACCACUGAGCUAAAUCCCCAACCCCGUCAUGUGCUCCUAAAUCUCAAUUCACCUUGGUAAGCUGAUAUGUGGCACUCUCUUCUAGAAAUCAGUGUUUGAUCAGUCUGUGCUGCAUGGGUGUGCCUGGAAAAUGGUGCUGGUUAUGUGCCUAUCCAGUUGUGGACUCAGUCAUCCUUUAUCCUCAAAACAGACCCAAAUCUGCUCUUCUGAGGACAAGUACAAUCUAAAAAGAAAAAGCCAUCAGUUUAUGCAAUAUGCUCUCAACGCCACCUCCAACCUCAUUUGUCCAGUUUGUAAGACAGACAGACACACAGACCGACAGAUAUAUGUUACGUUCCUAAAGUCAAAAGAUACUACCUUAUAUAGUUAGCAGUUCAAAAUGGAACUGCAGUGUCCUAUGCAUUUAGCAAGAUGACGGGGCCGUGUGCGCACUUGCACAUAUUAAAACCCGAUCAGGCAAACAGACCCAAGAACUUGUGAACACAGUAGACUGAGAAUAGAACAUCUUUCCCUGGACCCCACAAGCAGAGGACCCGAAACACUGAGAUGGUGAUGGCCCAGCAACCUGUUACCGGACCUCCAAGUGUGAG